GGAUUUUCUUCGCUACUGUGCAUCAUUGUUUGCUGUCCCUGUCAGCAGCGGCAGGACUGAGCCUCAGAUUACUAAACCUGAAUCGUGCCUGGUCAUAGAAGUUCUGGAUGAGAGAGACAUACAUGGAGCGUUUGCUUCUGAACAGAGGACAGACGACAACAGAGAGGUUCCCUCUGCUCAGCAGACCCUCAGUUAUGCAACACUGGAGCCCCAAACAGCCGUUACCAGUGGGGGGUCCGUAAGAGUCAGCUGCUCUUCUCCCAGUCCAGCACCACCCAAACCAGCUCAGAAGCUCCAUCUAUCCAAGACUCGGACUUCAAAAUCAUUGUCCUCCAAAAGUAAGCCAUCAGCAUGCCCCACUGAUGAGACUCCGAAGACUUCAAGGACAUCCAUCAAGACACCAACCUCCACGUCACAAAAGCCCAAUUGCCCCCCCAAUGUCUAUAACUCAAAACCUGACUGUGGAUCAAUACAACAUGUGUCCUCUCCCUCAUCAGCACAUUCCCAAAGAGAGAUUCCUAAAUCUUCACCCUCGCCUGUCUCGUUUCCGCCUGAUGUUUCUCCUUUUACUAGAACCAGAUCUCCAAUCCC